rnacentral:rRNA from 1 species
GAUUAGCGCUAGCGGCAGGCAUAAUACAUGCAAGUUGAACGGCAGCACAGGUAGCAAUACUGGGUGGCGAGUGGCGCACGGGUGCGUAACACGUAUGCAACCUACCCUAUACAGGCGAAUAACCUUUAGAAAUGAGGGCUAAUACGCCGUAGUAUUACAGAUGGGCAUCUAUUUGUAAUUAAAGAUUUAUCGGUAUAGGAUGGGCAUGCGUCCCAUUAGUUAGUUGGUAAGGUAACGGCUUACCAAGACGAUGAUGGGUAGGGGAUCUGAGAGGACUUACCCCCACACUGGUACUGAGACACGGACCAGACUCCUACGGGAGGCAGCAGUAAGGAAUAUUGGGCAAUGGCCGCGAGGCUGACCCAGCCAUGCCGCGUGCAGGAAGACGGCCUUAUGGGUUGUAAACUGCUUUUAUACGGGAAUAAUAGAGUGUACGCGUACAUUUAUGCAAGUAUCGUAUGAAUAAGCAUCGGCUAACUCCGUG